GAUGAACGCUGGCGGCAGGCCUAACACAUGCAAGUCGAGCGGAUAAAAGGAGCUUGCUCCUUGAUUCAGCGGCGGACGGGUGAGUAAUGCCUAGGAAUCUGCCUAUUAGUGGGGGACAACGUUUCGAAAGGAACGCUAAUACCGCAUACGUCCUACGGGAGAAAGCAGGGGACCUUCGGGCCUUGCGCUAAUAGAUGAGCCUAGGUCGGAUUAGCUAGUUGGUGAGGUAAUGGCUCACCAAGGCAACGAUCCGUAGCUGGUCUGAGAGGAUGAUCAGACACACUGGAACGGAGACACGGUCCAGACUCCUACGGGAGGCAGCAGUGGGGAAUAUUGGACAAUGGGCGAAAGCCUGAUCCAGCCAUGCCGCGUGUGUGAAGAAGGUCUUCGGAUUGUAAAGCACUUUAAGUUGGGAGGAAGGGCAGUCAGCUAAUAUCUUGCUGCUUUGACGUUACCAGCAGAAUAAGCACCGGCUAACUCUGUGCCAGCAGCCGCAGUAA
rnacentral:rRNA from 1 species